rnacentral:rRNA from 1 species
GGGACGGGGGAGAGGGGCAGGUGGAAUGGAGGAAGACGAGAGAGAGGAAUAGACGAAUGUCGACGAAAUGCAACCUACGAACAGGUUUGCGUGGUCUAGGAACCUAUCGGUGUAGGAGAUUGCUCAGAGGCGUCACGAGAUGAUAAACGGUCCACACGUCAGAUAAACCCAGAAGGUUUUUUUGCCGGUCCUCUAGGAUCUCCGUGCCGGGGCCUGACUUCGGUGGGACUUGGAUAGAAAACUUUGGUAGGAGUACCUUAACCAGCUCGAUGCGUGCUGUAGAAACCGACUCCGUUACAAACUGUUCGAACUCGAGGGUUCUGGUCAAAUGGUACACGUAUACGAACUCGUUCCGCCUAUAUCCCGUGUCUAACUCAAAGUGGUAUGGUCUCUCGCAAUAUUACGAAGGCGUGCGGCCUGAUUUAACAACUCGGUAUGUACACAAUCGUCUCUCCGUCGUUACCUAGUCCGUCGGCUAGUUCGUUAAUGUAUGUACCUUUUAUUACUUUUGUUCCAAGAACGACUAAUAUUGAUGAUAGCCGACGUUGUUCUUUUUGUUAGAACACGUUCCGAAAGUCUAUGGAACAGUCUCUCUUGCUUUCUUCAGUUGGUCGCGUUGGUCUGGUAGUAUGUCUACUGAUUUCUCCGCAGGUUAAUAGACCUUCUUCACGUACGACGUAGUCUGUUCUAGGUACCAGAACGACGGUGACGGAAUCUGGGACGACGGUCGGACAGAGAAAGGUGAGAUUUUGUUUGAUAAAACCGCUAAGUUCUAAGUGAACAACGAGAAGUUUCGUGAUGGCGGCGACGUGCACGGAGGGAUCUCCUUUUCCCGUACAUGAGUCUCCUACUACACCGAGUUGGUUGGAUGCUACCCGAAAGACUACUUCUCUGGCUACUUCUAACGGUAGUUCUGUACCUACUACUGAUGCGAGUGAUACACGCUAGGGGUACU